rnacentral:rRNA from 1 species
CGAGAGGGUGCGAGCGUUGUUCGGAAUUAUUGGGCGUAAAGCGCGUGUAGGCGGCUUAGUAAGUUGGGUGUGAAAGCCCUCGGCUUAACCGAGGAAGUGCGCCCAAAACUGCUUGGCUUGAGUACCGGAGAGGGUGGCGGAAUUCCCGGUGUAGAGGUGAAAUUCGUAGAUAUCGGGAGGAACACCAGCGGCGAAGGCGGCCACCUGGACGGAUACUGACGCUGAGACGCGAAAGCGUGGGGAGCAACCAGGAUUAGAUACCCUGGUAGUCCACGCUGUAAACGAUGAGCGCUAGGUGUUGCGGGUGUUGACCCCUGCAGUGCCGCAGCUAACGCAUUAAGCGCUCCGCCUGGGAAGUACGGCCGCAAGGCUA